CUGCACUUAAUGCUUUGCAUAUUCGUGCACUUUGGGUGUACUUGCCCGUAUGGUUGGUUAACAUCAAUUUUGGUGGUCAUAAAAUGACUGGAGGAAUGUAGCUUCGAUCUCGUAUUGAAGUGUUAUAGCCUUCGGUAGAUGUGAUGAUCGAGAUUGAGGAUUGCAACGGAUACCCUUCGGGGCUACCUGUCUGGUCUCUGAUCGUUGCUCUGGUGCCGAAAGCUUGCUUACGGUUAUCAAAGUCGAUGGUCAAUAGGUUAGAACGGGUUAAAUUCGUUAAGGAUGUUGACGUAA
rnacentral:rRNA from 1 species